rnacentral:lncRNA from 1 species
CCGCCCUGCGAUGGGGGUCCUGAGAGGCAAGGGGGUAAGAAGGGCUGGCUCUCACCCACCGCAAAAUGGGGGGCCUUUAUGUUCAGGUUUUGCCCAAGAGUCAGCUUAUUUGCGUCUUCUACUAGCAGGGUAGUUGCUGCCACUGCCCUCAAACAGGGGGGCCAUCCUUUAGAAAACCUGUCUAGUUGUUUAGAGACGUAGGCCACCGGCCUCAGCCAGGGCUCCACACUUUGGGUUAAAUGUCCAGCUGCCAUCUAUUUUCUCUCUGAUGCAUUCAAUGGAAAAGGCUUUGUCAGAUCGGUUAUCCCAGGGCUGCGGCUGCCGGAAGUUUUUCCUUUAACUCAUGAAAGACUUGCUGUUGUUGGGAUCCCCCUUCCAAAGGUUCCCGGUCCCCGCCCCCUUUGUGACCUCAUAAAAGGGCUUGGCUAAUACUGCAAAGUUUGGGAUGCACAGUCUACAAAACCCCACAGCUCCCAAGAAUUCCCUCACCUGCCUUCUGCCCUUAGGCUCCGGUAGAUUGCAAAUAACCUGCUUUCUUUCUGUUCCCGGGCUGAGUUCGGACCCCUGUCGGAGAGUAAAUCCCAAUGUUUUAGACGCCCAGUUGCACAACUUGAUUGCCUUACAAAUGACCUGCUUCCAGGAUGCGGAAAUUCCUAAUUUCUUCUGUGACCCUUCUCAACUCCCCCAUCUUGCAUGUUGUGACACCUUCACCAAUAACAUAAUCAUGUAUUUCCCUGCUGUCAUAUUUGGUUUUCUUCCCAUCUCUGGGACCCUUUUCUCUUACUAUAAAAUUGUUUCCUCCAUUCUGAGUGUUUCAUCAUCACGUGGGCAGUAUAAGGCCUUCUCCACCUGUGGGUCUCACCUGUCAGUUGUUUGCUGAUUUUACGGAACGGGCGUUGGAGGGUACUUCAGUUCAGAUGUGUCAUCUUCCCCGAGAAAGGCUGCAGUGGCCUCAGUGAUGUACACGGUGAUCACCCCAUGCUGAACCCCUUCAUCUACAGCCUGAGAAACAGGCAUAUUAAAAGUGUCCUGCGGCG